CGGGAAGGCGGUGCGAAUCCGCCGCGACCCCGUCACUGUAAUCGGGGACGAAACCCACGACGAGGCCACUGGCCCGCGGCCGCGCGCGCCGGGAAGGCGUGGGGAGUAGGACGAUCCGAGAGCCAGGAGACCG
rnacentral:ncRNA from 1 species